rnacentral:rRNA from 1 species
UACAGAGGUCUCAAGCGUUGUUCGGAUUCAUUGGGCGUAAAGGGUGCGUAGGUGGCGUGGUAAGUCGGGUGUGAAAUUUCGGAGCUUAACUCCGAAACUGCAUUCGAUACUGCUGUGCUUGGGGACUGGAGAGGAGACUGGAAUUUACGGUGUAGCAGUGAAAUGCGUAGAGAUCGUAAGGAAGACCAGUGGCGAAGGCGGGUCUCUGGACAGUUCCUGACACUGAGGCACGAAGGCCAGGGGAGCAAACGGG